AUACGUAGGGGGCAAGCGUUGUCCGGAAUUAUUGGGCGUAAAGCGCGCGCAGGCGGUUCUUUAAGUCUUGUGUUUAAUCCCAGGGCUCAACCCUGGUACGCAUGGGAAACUGGAGGGCUAGAGUGCAGGAGAGGAAAGUGGAAUUCCACGUGUAGCGGUGAAAUGCGUAGAGAUGUGGAGGAACACCAGUGGCGAAGGCGACUUUCUGGCCUGUAACUGACGCUGAGGCGCGAAAGCGUGGGGAGCAAACAGGAUUAGAUACCCUGGUAGUCCACGCCGUAAACGAUGAGUGCUAGGUGUUGGGGGUUUCGAUACCCUCGGUGCCGAAGUAAACACAGUAAGCACUCCGCCUGGGGAGUACGCUCGCAAGAGUGAA
rnacentral:rRNA from 1 species